rfam:Bacteroides cellulosilyticus CAG:158 genomic scaffold, scf157
ACAGAUAAAGGAAGUUGUGAAACUUCCCCCAAUAGAAUAGUUUAGUUAAGUCUAGUUUAGUUUUUGUGUGAAGCACUUCCUCCGUAAGCGAACGAUAGGAAGUGCUUUUUGU